UACGUAGGUGGCAAGCGUUGUCCGGAAUUAUUGGGCGUAAAGCGCGCGCAGGCGGUCCUUUAAGUCUGAUGUGAAAGCCCACGGCUCAACCGUGGAGGGUCAUUGGAAACUGGGGGACUUGAGUGCAGAAGAGGAGAGUGGAAUUCCACGUGUAGCGGUGAAAUGCGUAGAGAUGUGGAGGAACACCAGUGGCGAAGGCGACUCUCUGGUCUGCAACUGACGCUGAGGCGCGAAAGCGUGGGGAGCGAACAGG
rnacentral:rRNA from 1 species